CUGGGAUCCACCCCACACUUCUGGCUCUGGGAUGUGUAAGGGACUGCGGUGCCCUGUGGGUUUGGGCAGCCUUACAAACUGCAGAGUUGCUUUUUUUUUUUUUCUUUUUUUUCAGCCCAGCUCAGGUAUGUGUGUUUGCUGUAAGUCCUGAGAGGGUUAGAUCUUAACACCCAGGAUGGUUCUUCCGCCCUGCUGCCUUUUGCAGCAGUGCGAGGGGCAGGGGCAGCCUCCAGCAUGCAGGCGCAGGGAGGCAGCGGUCGGUGCAGCCUUGCUGUGGGAGGGAGCAGCCCGUGCCGUGCCACUCAUGUGUCCCUUACUCUAACACGCAAGCCAACAGGCAGAGCGACCCAUUUUAUUUCAUCAGACUUGGGAAAACAGCAGUUCUUUAGCUGCACAAGUUAUGCCUUAAAUGCUUUGCUUUUGGUGCAGUUUCUUUUUUCACUGUUUUCUUGUUCCCCGUGCACGAUGCAGUAUAACGGCACGCUGCAAACACAAAAUAAAUUUCCCAGUUCUUUUGAAAUUAAGGUGGAAGAUGUUGUAUCCCUUACUGCUCUACAUUUUCUCACGUGAAUGCUUCAUUAUUUUAGUUUUGAAGUAUUUGAUAGAGGUCCUUCUUGUAAACCAAAGUGUCCGUGGGUCAUUUGCUACCUUGUUGUCUCUUUGCAGAUGUAAGUGCGUUUAUCAGCUGUAUUCAUGCAAGAAAGCUCAACUCCGGCAUACCAAGUAGGAGGCAGCGCGUUGUUUACCUGCUUUGUUAUGAGGACUGUUGUGCUCUGAGCAGCAGCUGGAAACUCAGCUUCCUAUUUAUAUUUACUGCUUUUAAAAGCAGCGCAGGCUGAUGGGCAGUGAAAAGUCCUCACUCAGGGCUGUGCUGACACCGCUGCCAGCCAUCGGGCUGUGUUAGCUGAGGUGAGGGAGGGGAUCGAUAGACAGUCCGUGCAAUUUCUGCUCCGAACAACGGCAGCAGAGGCGGAUGCUGGCGGCUGUGCACCAUGAACCCACGUGAGGAUGAGGAUGGAGCCGUCAGAUGUCCCACGGGUGCCUGGUUAUGGCGAGUCGCUCACACCCGCUUGUGGGGCUGCCAGCACCGGGGUCUGGGCUCUGCCCGGGGACAUGCUUGAUGGGUGAGGUCUCUCUUCUCUGCAGCUGCAUUUCGCUGUAGCGCAAAACAAAACGCCAGAUCCAGAGUGAGAUUUUCAGGUUUUUGGACUCUUGGUUCUGACAAGCUGUGCGUAAGUGAAGAAGUUGAAAAGAGCAAGUGUUUCCUAGUGGAAAUAGAAACAGCUGGAAUGCGUGUCGGUCUCCCACCCCCCGGGAGUCUGUUGGAUUGUUCUCUUUGAUUUUACAUCUCCGUGGAAAUUUAUGGUCGUAGCACCUUUUAUUUAUGACGUUGCAAUCCUCGGUCAAGCAAUUGAUUGAAAUACAGCAGUGCCAAGCUGCGAGCCUGUAUUUUAGAAAGGUUAGAGUUUAGAAAGCAAAGCAGCAAUGCAAAGUUGUAGAUUGAAAGCUGCACUAGAAACCUGUACGGAGGCUGUCUGGGCUGCUGUGUUCCUGAACUUCUUUAAAGUAAAGAAUUACCGUGACAAGGAUUUAUACCUUUUCGCUCUGCUACCAUUUAAGCUGCCUGGUGUUGCUGAAAACAUGGUGCUUACCAGAUAUGCAGUCUUACUAGCUCUGCUAACUUCUGCAUAUAAGAACAUUCGUCCGUAUUUUUCCAGCUCACAUCAGCAGGGGCCAUGUACUGUUAGUGUAGUGUGUGCAGCGUCAUAUAGUCUCUCACAGCUGCUCGGGAAUGUAGUAGUAGUUGUCUUCUGGGGCUGCAAGCAAGAAAUCAGAGGGCUUAUCAUUUUUAGCUGCCAGUACAGAGGCUUUGGUUAAACAUAAAGCAAAGAGGAAAUAGUUUGCCUUUUGAAUAUGUCAGUGAAUUCAUUCCUAUCACCUCGCUUUAAUUUAUAUAAAAAGAAAUCUUGUACUAUAUUGAAACUUACUGAGAGAAAUAAUAAUUAGGGAUGUGGCUCUGCUUGCUGCUGCAGCAUAGUGAUGUGUGUGGCGUCCUGACAUCGUGAUUCCUGGCUUGCUGGUGGAUUAAAACAUUGCAUCCUAGCCAGAUACACCACAGGCAACUGGAGGGGGGGAAAAAAAAGAAAAGGAAAGUAAAUAAAUUCAAACUACUGGCAUCCAGUGAUGACAGGAUGUAGCAGAAUGAGGCAAGGUAAUUGAUUGUGGAACUCUGCACAGCAGGGACCUAGUUGCUUUUUUCUUUCCUCCUUAAUAGAUGCCCAGAAGUAACCCAUUUCGCUGUAUGGCUGCAGCGCGGGGUUCUUCUGUGAUCCCGCCCCUGUGGGACUGCAGGCAGAAUUUCUUCUGUGGGACACAGCAGAGCGCUGGGGUCUUAAAACUCCCACUUGAAUAAGUGCUUCCCGGCUGAGAGCGCAUCUCAGUACCUGAGAAGGACCACCGGAUUGGGUUUAUGUUGCUGCUACAGCCGAGUUGAUAGAAAGUGGAUAGGUGCUUGUACUUCCAGGUGAGCCCAAGAUCUUGGCUUAAAUUGAGAAGGCAAGAGCGAAUUUAAGAUGUCAGACUGCAAGCUGAAGUGGCACGGACAACCAGACAAAUGGCAGCGCUGCUUCUCCCCACCAAGAAAAACGGGGAUAGUGCAAGUGUUGGCAAGUUUGUUUUUAUGGAAUGAGCGGCGUUGGUGUGGCGUGAUAAGCAACUCUACCUGCAAUCAAACCUCAACCAAGGACUCUGCUGGCCUUCAUUUGGACUCUGGACUUCAUUUAAGCAAGCUGGCUUCCCAAGCAGCAGGGAACGGACAUCCACAGGCCCCAAAGUCUUCGUGGGGUGCCCAGAAACCCAGAAGAGCCUGACUUCGAGCACCCAAGUCCUGUUGCCUUGGUGGAAAAAAUUGUCCUUUAAAAGACCAUGUAAUAUCUGGGACUUAGAUGCUUGGGCUUACAAUAGGAAAGGAUGGCACUCCUUCAAUGUCACCUGAGCAUCCCAGCUCAUAAAUCCAGCCUCUGCCUUUACGACCCGGAUCUGCUGGAGGAAACAGAUUUCCGUGGCGGUGGUCGGGCAGUCCUGGAGCUGUUCCUCCUGCGAGUGCAGGAACCGGCCCCGUGGCUGCUGCAGUCCCGGGCAAAUGGGGACGAAUCCUGCAACAGGCAGGCUGGGCACGGGGGCUGAUGUCCUGGCACUGCCGUAUUGCUCAAGGUUAGGGUGGCUUCGGAGCACAAGCUUCAUCCCACACCGUGCAGCCUUUCAGUCGUUCCAGUUUAGCUCAGAAUAUACUUCUUGCCCAAACAAACGUCUCUGAUCUGUAUAGAUGAAUACCUCGUAUUAAAUUCACCAAAGAAACGGCAAUUACAGUAACGGCUGUUUGUAUGUAUGGCUUGGGCUGCUGUGCCUGGGCACGAGGGGAAUUUUUUUUUCAUAUGGUCAACAUGAGAGAAGUGAUCGAUUGCUUCCAGGACUGAGGAUGC